UUCAUUCACAAAACGAAAUAGAACGCGUAGAAUUUAAUUCUGUAACAUAGUCAAAUGUUAAUUGUAAUAUGUUCCCUCGUUCUUAUUGGUCCGUUUUAUUUUAUAUUUUGAUAAGCACCAAUAACCAUGUUUAUUGGCGCAUAUAUUCGUGCGUAUUGUGAGAUUGACUAGAGUUAUGUAUUUGGAAUAAGCCGGGGUUAUUUGAAGAAUUGCAUAAAUGCGUUUUCCCAAUUUUCUUGAAUAGAACCAACAUUUCAAUUAAAUGCAGUGCAAAUAAUAGAAACGUAAGGCUUCGUCAGCGUCCCUAAUCCCCGUAUUUGCCGGGGAGGUUAUAACAGGGAUUGUAAGAAAAGAAGUGGAACAAAAUGAUGCACAGAAGAGGAGGGAAACGAAUACGUAUGGAUGAUCCGGUGCCUCCAGAGUACGAGGCACCAAUGACUCCAAUGACUCCCAUGAAUGAUAACUCGACAGGAGAAGUGAACGAAUCUUUUUCUAAUUAUGCACCCUAUAGUCAAGCACCUCAAACACCUAUACAUAAUCCAACUCCUGAACAUUAUUCAUCUGAAAGCUACAGUUCACCUGGAGCAUCACAACAUCAAUAUCAAGAACAAGCAGGAAAUUUUGAAAAUCAAACUCAAUUUGAACAACCGAUGACACCAGCAACCCCAACAAAUAUGAGGAUCACAAGAAAUACACGUGCUAGGUUACGUGGGGGACCAAUACAACAACCGAAAUAUAAAGAAAUAGAUACAGACUUCAUUCCAACAACAAGUACCAGAGGAAGGGGGGGUGGUGGACGCGGACGUGGAAAACGGACGCAUCACUCGCAUAGUCUAGAAGAUGAGGCUAGUCUUUAUUAUGUCAUCAGGAAUAAUCGUUCUUCGCUGACUACUAUUGUUGAUGAUUGGAUAGAAAAGUACAAAAUCAAUAGAGAAAAUGCUCUUCUCAUGUUAAUGCAAUUUUUCAUUAAUGCAAGUGGUUGUAAAGGUCGCAUUACUUCUGAGAUGCAAGCAACAAUGGAACAUGUAGCGAUAAUACGAAAAAUGACCGAAGAAUUUGAUGAAGAAAGCGGAGAAUAUCCAUUAAUAAUGACUGGACAACAGUGGAAGAAAUUUCGUGCGAAUUUCUGUGAAUUUGUUCAAAUUUUAGUUCGACAAUGUCAGUAUUCAAUAAUUUACGACCAGUUCUUAAUGGAUAAUGUAAUUUCAUUAUUAACUGGUCUUUCGGAUUCACAAGUAAGAGCGUUUAGGCACACGGCCACGCUUGCUGCUAUGAAACUUAUGACAGCAUUGGUAGACGUUGCUUUGACCGUAUCCAUAAAUUUGGAUAACACGCAACGGCAAUACGAAGCUGAAAGACAAAAAGCUAGAGAAAAAAGAGCGGCGGAUAGAUUAGAAUCAUUGAUGGCCAAACGAAAAGAACUUGAAGAAAACAUGGACGAAAUUAAAAAUAUGCUUACGUAUAUGUUCAAAUCUGUAUUUGUACAUCGUUAUAGAGAUACAUUGCCAGAAAUACGUGCGAUAUGCAUGGCAGAAAUUGGAGUUUGGAUGAAGAAAUUUCAUCAAAACUUUUUAGACGAUUCCUAUUUAAAAUACAUAGGUUGGACAUUACACGAUAAAGUUGGCGAAGUUCGAUUAAAAUGUCUUCAAGCACUACAACCGUUAUAUGCUUCGGAAGAAUUGAAGACUAAACUUGAACUUUUUACAAGUAAAUUCAAAGAUAGAAUCGUUGCAAUGACAUUGGAUAAAGAGUACGAUGUAGCAGUGCAAGCUGUUAAACUUGUUAUCUCGAUUUUGAAGCAUCACAGAGAGAUACUUACCGAUAAAGACUGCGAGCACGUGUACGAACUUGUUUAUUCGUCUCAUCGCGCUGUUGCGCAGGCAGCGGGUGAAUUUUUAAAUGAACGAUUAUUCCGUCCGGAUGAUGAAGCAGUAGCAGGCGUGAAGACCAAGCGUGGAAAGAAGCGUUUACCGAAUACACCACUUAUUCGAGAUCUCGUGUUAUUCUUCAUCGAAUCGGAGCUUCACGAACACGGAGCAUAUUUGGUAGAUUCCUUGAUCGAAACGAAUCAAAUGAUGAAAGAUUGGGAAUGCAUGACCGACCUAUUAUUAGAAGAGGCUGGACCAGAGGAAGAAGCUUUAGAUAAUCAAAAGGAAACAUCAUUGAUCGAAUUAAUGGUCUGUUGCAUAAAGCAGGCAGCCACGGGUGAAGCUCCAGUUGGUCGAGGACCAACUAGAAAGAUCUUAUCAGCGAAAGAAAUGAAACAAGUGCACGAUGACAAACAGCGAUUGACGGAACAUUUUAUACAAACACUACCUCUUUUACUCGACAAAUAUAGAGCAGAUCCCGAGAAGCUUGCAAACUUGCUCGCUAUCCCUCAAUACUUCGACUUGGAUAUUUACACCAAGUCUCGGCAAGAACAAAACUUGGACUCAUUGUUGAAUAAGAUUCAGACAGUUGUAGAAAAAAUGCAUGACACUGAAGUCUUAGAUACAGCCUCAAAAACAUUAGAACAUAUGUGUAUAGAGGGACACGCUAUUUUCACUAGAUGUGAUGUAGCGCGCUCAACAUUAAUCGAUUCUAUUGUAAAUAAAUAUAAAGAAGCUAUCGAUGAAUAUAGAAACUUAAUAGAGGGAGAUGAAGAACCAGAUGAAGAUGAGAUUUUCAAUGUCGUACAAUCUCUUAAAAAAGUUUCAAUAUUUUAUUCUUGUCACAAUAUGAAUCCAUGGGGGAUAUGGGAUUCUUUAUACAAGGACAUCGAAGACGCUAAGGACCCAUCGAAGUGUUUACCGCACGAGGCAGUUAAGUAUUGUAUAAGCGCAUGUUUCUUUGCAAUUCUAUGGGGACAGACUCACCUCAUGGAAUCUGUAGAUUCUGGAAAUCGAGGUGAAGAUGAAUGUCGACAAUUAAAGGAACACCUACAUUCCUUUAUGGGUUCCAUGCGUCACUUCGUUAGCGGCGAUGGCAGUGGCGCACCUUCUCCACCAAUUCUAAGAGAAGAAGCUUAUAACACGAUAUGUGAUUUAUUGGUACUGUUUUGUAAUCAAUUAACAACACAUUCUAAUCCUUUGAUGCAUCAAUUAGUGUAUGAACCUGAUCAAGCAAUGCAGAACAUGCUCAAUCGGUUUAUACAGGAAUACGUAUUUUUUGAAGAAGAAGAUGAUGAACACGAUGAACAUUCGAAAAUCGAAGAGUUGCAUAAAAGAAGAAACUUCCUAGCGGGGUAUUGCAAAUUAAUUGUAUAUAAUAUGAUACCCACGAAAGCAGCAGCGGACGUGUUCAAACAUUACGUAAAAUAUUACAAUGAUUACGGCGAUAUCAUUAAAACUACAUUAGGAAAAGCUAGAGAUAUUAAUAAAACAAACUGUGCUUUGACCAUGCAACACAGUUUGAAUAUUUUGUAUAAUGAAAUAGUAGCUGAGAAAAGUAAAGUUAAUAGAAACAGCGAAGAAUUUACUGCUAUAAAGGAACUCGCAAAACGAUUUGCUUUAUCAUUUGGCUUGGACGCAGUAAAAAAUCGUGAAGCAAUUACUGCUUUGCAUCGUGCGGGCGUUCUUUUCGCAAUUACCCCACCAGAUGGUAUAGAACAGGAUCCCACUGGUCCACCGCCAAAUUUGUCUUUCCUUGAAAUCCUAUCUGAAUUCACGAAUAAACUUCUUAAACAGGAUAAACGUGUCGUGUUAAACUUCCUCGAUAGGAGACUGCAAGAUGGAAUGCCUUCCUCGCGGGGAGAGGAUUGGCAACCUUUACUCUUAUACAGAAACAGUCUAUUACACGGCGAAACAGAUCAAGUUCCAGUAACAAGUAAACGUGCUUACACAAGACGUAAAAAGGAUCAUUUAGCUGAAGAAGAAGAAGGAGAUGAGCCUGAAGAAGGUUCUGAUCAUGAAUUUUUGGGAAUUGGAAAAUUGUUACAAAUAUGAAAGAACGCGAACAGCUACCCUGCGACCGUCAAUUUUGAGAGCUAUGGAAACAGUAGUAGGUAGAGAAAAAUUAUACAUACAUAACCUUGUUGGAAUAUUCCCAAUAAAAAAAAGUCUGUGAGAAUAUUAAACUAUUCGUAAGUAAUUAAUUAAAAAAAUCAAUAAAUAAGGAGUGUCUGGGGAUCCAAAGCUAAAGUUUCAUUAAUUUUAUGAUAGAUCUACCUCAGUUUUAGAAGGUAUCAAAUUUGAAUAUUACAUUAUUUACAUGCUUACGUAGUUAUUUUAAUUCACAUGUAAUGUGCACAAUCCUAUCAUUUAUUAUCAUAAACAUUGCACUGUAAUAUCGUUGAAUGCUAAAAUAAAUUCAUAUCAUCAGUAGUUUAAUUACUAAUAAAAACUAUCUUUCUCUUUGCUGUAUUUUGUGUUAUUGCUUCGUACUACUGCUUCGCUAAAAUGUAUCUGCUACUGUAAGACGUCAUAUUUCUAUCACAUAUUGAAAACGUAGAAAAUAAUUUAAAUUAUAUAUGUAAGAUAUUUAAAUUGAUGAUACUAUCAUAUAUCAGUAUUUUAAUAUUUGUUCUAUGUAUAUAUUAAAUUUUAAUUUUUUAAUCAAUUGAAAGAUUUUUAAAGUUAAAGUAUUUUUUAAAUAAUAUUGGUUUACACUUUUACGAUUUAAUUGCAUGCUUGUGUUUAAAUUAUUAAUAAAUACUUAUUACCGUUGGCGUCUUUAUGUACAUCAUAAAUCUGUCGUGUUCGCAUGGGUAGUAAUCUUUUAUGAAUCGCUUGUUGCAGGCUACCUGAUCGUUAUUCAAGCUAAGAAUUAGACUUUUUAGCAAAAUAUAUAAUAUAUGUAAUCAUAUAAGGGGCAAAAAUUGUAUAAGGAAUUGAUGAGAUCUAUUAUUCUUGGUGCCUGUUUUAAAAUCAAGUUUCAAACUAGUGUAAGGAAUUAACAGGAAUAUUAUAUGUAAUAUUGUCAAGUUGUAUAAGAAAUCCAUGAAAAUCUAUUGUUCUUGGUGACUACUUUUAAAGCAACUCACCUUCUAUAAACUAGUCUAAGGAAAAUAAGAUAAAAAUGCACAAUAAUAAUAUUGUUGAUAUAAUGAAAUGAUAAUAUUUUUGGAAUGCCUCACAAAAAAAAAUACAUAGAGAACGAUGUGUGUUCUGUUGAACCUAAAAACUUGAAAGCAACAAACACAAGAAGAGACGCGGUCCAAGGAAGCACCAAUUAGCUGUUAAUAAAGUAUCGAUAACUCGUGGACCUAGGGCAGCCGGCGUUUAUGAAAACAACGACACUACACAAAUGCA